rnacentral:tRNA from 1 species
GACCAUGUGGCCUAAUGGAUCUGGUAUCUGACUUCACAUCAGAAGACUGAGGGCUUGCAUCUCUUCAUGGUCC